rnacentral:lncRNA from 1 species
CUUCUGCACACCAAGCUUGCAUUCUGCAAAACGUGAGCCCAACAGGAAGCUGCCUGCAAAUUCAGGUAGCUUUUCUUACUCUUAACCAGGUCUUGAAUAUACUUUCAGAGAAAUGCCAGCAAGAACUAUAAUCAUCUGGGGAAGAACAAAUCUGGAAGAAAAACACACAGAGGACUAGCACCAAGAGGUCCACAGCUCAUAAUGAUGACAAUCCUGAGGAUAUAGGAAAAUGACUUCCCAUGCAAGAAGAAACUAUCAAAAGAAGAGAUAAGAGUGUGCCAUGAAAUUUAAAAAAAGAAAGGAAGGUGGAGAAAUGGAGAACAAGAUAAAGGCCUGGAAUCCCUGCUGCUCCAGAAAGGGAAGAAGGACUCCGAAAACAGUAAGAAGUCAGGACUGUUAACACCAAUGGAGGUUCCUCAUAGGACCACAGAAACUGGAUCUGCAUGCACUCUCUAAAAAGAAGUAGAAGAAGAAGAAAAGAAAAAGAAAGAAAUAUUAUGAAGAACUUUAUGCCAAUAACUUAACAACUUUAAUAAAAUGCACAUAUGUACUGAAUAGCAUGAGCUUCCAUAGCUCAUUCAGGAUGGAAGAACUAGAUUUUGAUUAGCCCUGUAUCUAUUAAGAAGUUAAAUCUUUUUUUCUCCUUUUUUUAAAAAAAGAUUUCUUUCUUUUUUUUCUUGUUACUCUAAUAAAAAGGCAAAAGUAAAAAAAAAUUUUUUUCAGGGGUACAGGUCUGUGAUUCAUCAGUUUUACAUAAUACCCAUUGCUUAUUACAACACAUACCCUCCCCAAUCUACUUUUUAACUGCAAUCUGUUAAAGAAGUUGAAUGAAAAUCCUUUCCACAAAGAAAAUUCACUGGUGAACUCUACCAAGCACUUAAGAAAGACAGAACAUCUAAACAAACUCUUCUAGAAAACUGAAGAAGAGGAAAUACUUUCUAACUCAUUUUCUGAGACUAGUAUUAGUUGACUACCAAAACCAGGCAAAGAUAGUAAUGAAAACUAAAGACCAAUAUCCCCCAGGAGGACAGAUGUAAAAACCCUUAGCAAAACUUUAGCAAGUUAAAUGUGAC